GGGAACCCCCGCUGGCUCAAGGUUUUCUAUCCGUCCACUUACCUCUCCCACUGGCGUGCAUGGCGAGUGCGAUGGCAACGGCCAGUGGCCACUGGUGGCUAAAGCUGCCUUGAUGCAUGUGUUAUGGAAGAUGAAACGUGAGGCAGCGGAGAGCUGGGGAUGCUAACGUUGAUUUGCUCUGCACCAUUCCUCCAACGUGGAGAUCAGCAACGAGGGCAGGAACAAGCUUUGUGUACUCAAAAGGGACUUCACUUUCCUGAAUUUCUGAAUGCUUCACUGAAUUUGAUUCAGAUUAUGUGUGGCACUGACCGUAAUGCCCCUCUUUUGGAUUCAGUGUGAGGACACAAGCAGCUGGUGGUUAAGCUGGUUUGUACCAGCUGAGAGUCUGAGCUCCCAUGGUGUCUCACUC